CCACUGCUUCUGAAGCUUUGU
rnacentral:siRNA from 1 species